rnacentral:rRNA from 1 species
AGGCAGCAGUGGGGGAUAUUGCACAAUGGGGGAAACCCUGAUGCAGCAACGCCGCGUGAGUGAUGACGGCCUUCGGGUUGUAAAGCUCUGUCUUCAGGGACGAUAAUGACGGUACCUGAGGAGGAAGCCACGGCUAACUAC